GCUGGGCACGGUGGUGCAUGCCUAUGAUCCCAGUGACUGGGAGGCUGAGGAAGGAGGAUCAUGAGUUCAAAGCCAGCCUCAGCAAUUUAGUGAGGCUCUAAGCAACUCAGUGAGGCUCUAAGCAACUCAGGGAGACCCUAUCUCUA
rnacentral:sRNA from 1 species